rnacentral:rRNA from 1 species
AUUGAACGCUGGCGGCAUGCUUUACACAUGCAAGUCGAACGGUAACAGGCCGCAAGGUGCUGACGAGUGGCGAACGGGUGCGUAAUGCAUCGGAACGUGCCCAGUCGUGGGGGAUAACUACUCGAAAGAGUAGCUAAUACCGCAUACGAUCUAUGGAUGAAAGCGGGGGACCGUAAGGCCUCGCGCGAUUGGAGCGGCCGAUGUCAGAUUAGGUAGUUGGUGGGGUAAAGGCUCACCAAGCCAACGAUCUGUAGCUGGUCUGAGAGGACGACCAGCCACACUGGGACUGAGACACGGCACAGACUCCUACGGGAGGCAGCAGUGGGGAAUUUUGGACAAUGGGCGCAAGCCUGAUCCAGCAAUGCCGCGUGCAGGAAGAAGGCCUUCGGGUUGUAAACUGCUUUUGUACGGAACGAAACGGCUCUGGUUAAUACCCGGGGCUAAUGACGGUACCGUAAGAAUAAGCACCGGCUAACUACGUG